rnacentral:rRNA from 1 species
GGUGAGUCGGGGCAGGCAGGGGGGGGAAUACGGGGGUGGGAAGUGGUGUCGGUAUUGACUGGGCGUAAAGGAUGCGUUGGCGGGUAUUUAAGUGAGAUGUGAAAUUCCCGGGCUUAACUUGGGAGCUGCAUUUCAAACUGGGUAUGUAGAGUGCGGGAGAGGAGAGUGGAAUUCCUAGUGUAGCGGUGAAAUGCGUAGAGAUUAGGAAGAACACCAGUGGCGAAGGCGACUCUCUGGACCGUAACUGACGCUGAGGCAUGAAAGCGUGGGGAGCAAACAGGAUUAGAUACCCCGGUAGUC